rnacentral:rRNA from 1 species
AUUGAACGCUGGCGGCAUGCCUUACACAUGCAAGUCGAACGGUAACAGGUCUUCGGAUGCUGACGAGUGGCGAACGGGUGAGUAAUGCAUCGGAACGUGCCCAGUAGUGGGGGAUAGCCCGGCGAAAGCCGGAUUAAUACCGCAUACGACCUGAGGGUGAAAGGGGGGGAUCGCAAGACCUCUCGCUAUUGGAGCGGCCGAUGUCAGAUCAGCUAGUUGGUGGGGUAAAGGCCUACCAAGGCAACGAUCUGUAGUUGGUCUGAGAGGACGACCAGCCAAACGGGGACGGGGCAACGGCCCAGACUCCUAAGGGAGGCAGCAGUGGGGAAUUUUGGACAAUGGGCGCAAGCCUGAUCCAGCAAUGCCGCGUGCAGGAAGAAGGCCUUCGGGUUGUAAACUGCUUUUGUCAGGGAAGAAAUCUUCUGGGCUAAUACCCUGGGAGGAUGACGGUACCUGAAGAAUAAGCACCGGCUAACUACGUGCCAGCCGCCGCCGUAACAC